UACGUGCCAGCAGCCGCGGUAAUACGUAUGUCGCAAGCGUUAUCCGGAAUUAUUGGGCAUAAAGGGCAUCUAGGCGGCCAGAUAAGUCUGGGGUGAAAACUUGCGGCUCAACCGCAAGCCUGCCCUGGAAACUAUGUGGCUAGAGUACUGGAGAGGUGGACGGAACUGCACGAGUAGAGGUGAAAUUCGUAGAUAUGUGCAGGAAUGCCGAUGAUGAAGAUAGUUCACUGGACGGUAACUGACGCUGAAGUGCGAAAGCUAGGGGAGCAAACAGGAUUAGAUACCCUGGUAGUCCUAGCUGUAAACGAUGAUUACUGGGUGUGGGCAUGAAGAGUGUCCGUGCCGAAGUUAAUGCGAUAAGUAAUCCGCCUGGGGAGUACGGCCGCAAGGCUGAAACUCAAAGGAAUUGACGGGGACCCGCACAAGCGGUGGAGCAUGUGGUUUAAUUCGACGCAACGCGAGGAACCUUACCAGAUCUUGACAUCCCG
rnacentral:rRNA from 1 species